rnacentral:rRNA from 1 species
AUUGAACGCUGGCGGCAUGCUUUACACAUGCAAGUCGAACGGCAGCGCGGGCUUCGGCCUGGCGGCGAGUGGCGAACGGGUGAGUAAUACAUCGGAACGUGCCCAGUAGUGGGGGAUAGCUCGGCGAAAGCCGGAUUAAUACCGCAUACGACCUGAGUGUGAAAGCGGGGGAUCUUCGGACCUCGCGCUAUUGGAGCGGCCGAUGGCAGAUUAGCUAGUUGGUGGGGUAAAGGCCUACCAAGGCGACGAUCUGUAGCUGGUCUGAGAGGACGACCAGCCACACUGGGACUGAGACACGGCCCAGACUCCUACGGGAGGCAGCAGUGGGGAAUUUUGGACAAUGGGCGAAAGCCUGAUCCAGCAAUGCCGCGUGUGUGAUGAAGGCCUUCGGGUUGUAAAGCACUUUUGGCGGGAACGAAAAGGACUGUGCCAAUACCACGGUUCGAUGACGGUACCCGCAGAAUAAGCACCGGCUAACUACGUG